rnacentral:misc_RNA from 1 species
CCGAGUUUUCAACUCCCAAACCCCUGUGAACCUUACCAAUCGUUGCCUCGGCGGACGCCUCCCUCGCGGGGGCGGCCGCCAGAGGACCCAAACUCUCUGUCUUAUUUACCGUGGUAUCCUCUGAGUAACACAAGCAAAAUAAAAUCA